rnacentral:rRNA from 1 species
AACGAACGCUGGCGGCAUGCCUAACACAUGCAAGUCGAACGAGACCUUCGGGUCUAGUGGCGCACGGGUGCGUAACGCGUGGGAACCUGCCCUUAGGUUCGGAAUAACUCCCCGAAAGGGGUGCUAAUACCGGAUAAUGUCUUCGGACCAAAGAUUUAUCGCCUUUGGAUGGGCCCGCGUUGGAUUAGCUAGUUGGUAGGGUAAAAGCCUACCAAGGCGACGAUCCAUAGCUGGUCUGAGAGGAUGAUCAGCCACACUGGGACUGAGACACGGCCCAGACUCCUACGGGAGGCAGCAGUGGGGAAUAUUGGACAAUGGGCGAAAGCCUGAUCCAGCAAUGCCGCGUGAGUGAUGAAGGCCUUAGGGUUGUAAAGCUAUUUUAACCGGGAUGAUAAUGACAGUACCGGGAGAAUAAGCUCCGGCUAACUCCGUG